UUAUUGGUGCUAACUCUAGGGAAGCAUCGUGGACUAAGCUUGCCAGUGCUUCUCAUAUAUCCUCCAUACAACCUUUCCGACGGCAGAAUUUCAUGUCAUGUUCAGUUAAAUUCAAUAGGAUUUCCACAAAAGCAAUGUCUGAAUCUAUUGAAAGUGAGAGAGUGUCUGGACUGCCUAUUGAUUUGAGAGGUAAACGGGCUUUUAUUGCUGGCGUGGCUGAUGAUAAUGGGUAUGGUUGGGCAAUAGCAAAAUCUCUUGCUGCUGCAGGUGCUGAAAUUCUGGUUGGAACAUGGGUGCCUGCCUUAAACAUUUUUGAAACCAGCUUGCGACGAGGGAAGUUUGAUGAAUCACGAGUGUUGCCAGAUGGUUCUUUGAUGGAGAUCAACAAAAUAUAUCCCCUUGAUGCAGUGUUUGACAACCCUGAGGAUGUGCCUGAAGAUGUGAAAAUGAACAAGCGCUAUGCAGGAUCAUCUAAUUGGACUGUUCAGGAAGUUGCUGAGUCUGUCAAACAGGACUUUGGCAGUAUUGACAUCCUUGUGCAUUCACUUGCUAAUGGGCCAGAGGUCAGUAAACCUCUAUUGGACACAUCAAGGAAAGGAUAUCUUGCAGCUGUAUCUGCAUCAAGUUAUUCGUAUGUUUCUUUGCUCAAGCAUUUCCUACCAAUAAUGAAUCCAGGUGGUUCUUCAAUUUCUCUUACAUACAUUGCUUCUGAGAGGAUCAUUCCAGGAUAUGGAGGAGGUAUGAGUUCUGCCAAAGCUGCACUCGAGAGUGACACAAGAGUACUUGCUUUUGAAGCAGGAAGGAAACACAAAAUUAGAGUCAACACAAUAUCUGCUGGUCCACUAAGAAGCCGAGCUGCAAAAGCAAUUGGAUUUAUUGAUACAAUGAUUGAGUACUCAUUAGCCAAUGCUCCCCUGCAAAAGGAACUAUCUGCAGAUGAGGUGGGGAACACUGCUGCCUUCUUAGCAUCGCCUCUGGCUUCUGCCAUCACUGGCGCUCUUAUAUAUGUUGACAAUGGCCUCAAUGCAAUGGGCAUCGGCCUUGACAGUCCAAUACUGAAAGACCUUGACAUCCCAAAAGACAAGCACUAGAGGAUACUGCAGGUGGGUUCUUAGCGAGUGAAACUUGAGCUUUAGUUAGUGCUGCCAUUUUCCCUCCCUUGUUCCUUUAUCCCUUCAUUGGCAUUGCCCUAAAAGAGCUUGGCCAGCGGCAAUUCUUUUUGAGAUCUUCUCUUAAUAGGAACCUGAUUAAUCUGAAUCAGAAUUUCUUGCAGGCG
rnacentral:misc_RNA from 1 species